CCUACGGGAGGCAGCAGUGAGGAAUAUUGGUCAAUGGGCGUAAGCCUGAACCAGCCAAGUCGCGUGAGGGAUGAAGGUUCUAUGGAUCGUAAACCUCUUUUAUAAGGGAAUAAAGUGUGGGACGUGUCCUGUUUUGUAUGUACCUUAUGAAUAAGGAUCGGCUAACUCCGUGUCAGCAGCCGCGGUAAUACGGAGGAUCCGAGCGUUAUCCGGAUUUAUUGGGUUUAAAGGGUGCGUAGGCGGCCUUUUAAGUCAGCGGUGAAAGUCUGUGGCUCAACCAUAGAAUUGCCGUUGAAACUGGGAGGCUUGAGUAUGUUUGAGGCAGGCGGAAGGCGUGGUGUAGCGGUGAAAUGCUUAGAUAUCACGCAGAACCCCGAGUGCGAAGGCAGCCUGCCAAGCCAUGACUGACGCUGAGGCACGAAAGCGUGGGGAUCAAACAGGAUUAGAUACCCCAGUAGUC
rnacentral:rRNA from 1 species